GUAAGCCUAGUCAACUCCAUGAUUCACGCCAACUCCCAAUUCCCACACAAGUACCCAAUCAGAUAUGAGAAGGAAAAAAGCAUAUGCCGCCGCCGGUUCCCAUCCACGCGCGAUUGGAUCUCUGGCCCGCCCAUCUACAGAGACUUUCGACGGCGCCCACCCUGCUGCUCGUCUCUCCCCGUCACCGCCGUCGGCGUCGCCGUCUCUCUUCCCACGGACGCCCAGGUUAGAGGCAUCGCUCUUUCUCUUUACGUCGCUCUGCAACCGACCAACUCCGCAUCUCCUCCGUGAAGAAACCACUUAAUUGUGCAGCCUGUGGUAUUUCCAGAUCACACAGGGCGUCGUAGAAAGGUUUCCGGAAGCUGGGCUAUUACACUACUGUUUUUAUGAAGUUUUGUUGCUGUCCGAAUUUGCAAAUGAUAGCGCAAGAUGAUGAUGAAGUGUACCAAUCCUGAGCAAGAUUUGUCAAUCUCUCAUUGAUAUCAGCUGUUCGAUGUAGAUGGACAUGCUUCACAUACUGAAUCUCCCAUGUUCUAUGGUUCUACUUCUACCACACCCUUCUUUAUUUUUAUAGAACUAUAAAUGCAACCACUAAAUUUUAGAUUAUGUCUGCAUGUUGUUUAGUAUUUUCUCAUGUAGAUCUGCACUGUGCAAACAAGGAGCUGAAAUAUCAAAGUGAAGAGAUGAUGCUCAUAUGUUGCGGAUACUGCCUCUGAUGAUAAAAUUCUGGUAUUAUUUAUGUACUACUUUAGUGGUGCUAUCUGUGCUAAUGCUUCGAGGUUGAGGUCUUGAGGUUGGGAAUAACUUAACGUCUAUGCAGUUUCAUUUUGGUUAUGAAUCUUCCAAAUUAUGUUUCUUAGCCAGAGCAGGAUAUGUUGGUUGCUUGAUAGCAGUCUAUGGAACCAUAAACUUAUCUCUAUCUAAAACUGAUCCGAGGUAGCAAACCACAGUUCUCAGUUCUCAUGACUCACGAGUUUGCAGAAAAAGAUCACAUACAUUUUCAACACAGUAUUUACUCUUCGUAUAUAUAUUGUAAAUUUCAACUAUGUCUCACAUUGUAAAUUUCAAGUAGGUCUCACAAUGUGAGACUCACGAGUUUCCAGAAAGACAUUGUAAAUUUCUCUUAUUGGUUUUUCUUGUUGAAAAUUGAGACUUACUAAUGAGGCUUUCUAGUUAAUCAAUUAAUAUUUUAUUUUACCUUUCUUUGCAGGGUGACCGUUUCCGAUGAUCUUGAAGCUACACAACAAAAAUGCAAUGGAACGCUACAGAGUUGUUAUGAUAGAGCUUGUAUACUGUUGUUUACAUAGAUAGAUUCCAACUAGAUCGACAAAGUAUGUAGGAUCUAAGGGAUUUUGUCUAGUCGAGUUCUUGUUUUAUUUUGUAGGAUGUAAGGGAUUUUGCCCUGUCGAGGCUCAGCUUUUUGUAAUGAGUCCACUGUUUGAUUGUAAAUACAGUUUGUCCAAGGAAAUAAAUAUA